UUUUAUAAAUUUUUGUGAUACAUAAAAAAAUAUAUUCUCAUUCUAUCAGCAUUUAUCAGGUUUGGGUUUUAUGGUAGUUUGGAGAAACCACCGGGUGUUAAGCCGUGUUAAGGUCAGCAGAAAAAACAUAAAUUGGCAUUUUAUACCAGUCAGAGCAGCUCACUUUGGAGGCAAUGCAAUGCUGACGUAUGAGGAGCUGUAUACCCUACUGGUAGGUAUAGAGGCUUGUCUAAACUCGCAGCCGUUAUGUCCAUUGACGGAAGAUCCGAACGAUGACGAAGUCCUGACGCCAGGACAUUUUUUAAUUGGCAGUUCAUUAACAGCUGUACCGGAACCUGAUAUGAGCGACUGGAAAACGGGACGCUUAUCCCGAUGGCAACAUGUUGAGCAAAUUCGUCAACACUUUUGGCGUCGAUGGUCCCGGGAAUAUUUGGGCCAUUUACUACUUAGGGCGAAGUGGCAUCGGACUACGUCCCAAAUACAGCCGGGAAUGUUGGUCUUCCUGAGGGAUCCCAGUCCACCCCUAAAUUGGUGACGAGGACGAGUGGUAGAACUCCAUCCAGGCCCUGAUGGAUGCACCAGGGUCGUAUGAAUACGUGUCGGGGACCGCAUAAUGAAGAAAGCCGUCAGGACAUUGGAGGUACUACUGGUGGAUUGAACAAGCCGUUCAAUGCGGGCCGGGAUGUUCGGGCCAAUCGAGAAGCCCGCCGUGCAACCAGCGACGGAAGGGAGGGGGACACAACCACCCUCUUCCACUUCAAUUUGUAAAUAGUUUUUAGUUCUGUACGAGUUAGGCUAGGGAAAUAAACAAUAAAAGUACAGACGGGUUUUGUAGUUGCUCUGAACCACAUUAGUCCAGAGUGUCACCCAUUGUGACCUACAAGUAACCAGGGCCAUCCAUUGUGGCUUACAAGUUGGUCACCCAUUGUGACCUGGUCCUUCGAACCGACGACGCGAUUCACCAGGUUGAAUUGCAUCACAAGAACAGAACAACAUUUUUUUUUGGGCCUACGAACCGCCACAUCAUCAUUUUUUGGUUUUCCGAGCCGAAGUCCACAACAAAUAUAGAAACACUAUAAACAUCAAAGAAUUGUUUAUCUGUCAUAAAAUGUAAUGUCGCUAAAUUUACAUAAGUAUGUAUAUACAUAUGUUUAGACAAGCUCUAUAAAAUAAUGCCAAUUC